GCGGGGUCUUUUUCUGAUGUACGUCAGCACUAUACGCUAUUAACCGCACAGCUUUUCCUCCCAUACUUGAAGUGCUUUACAACCCGAAGGCCUUCUUCACACACGCGGCAUUGCUGGAUCAGGCUUGCCCCCAUUGUCCAAUAUUCCCCACUGCUGCCUCCCGUAGGAGUCCCCCCGUGCCCCCGCCCCGCCCGCCGCGCGCGGCGGGGGAGGGGGGGGC
rnacentral:rRNA from 1 species